GCCCCGCGCGCGCGCGGCGGCAGUCGUGUCGGGACCACCGAGCGGUGUGGACGUGUUCGAGCGUCGCGCGUGUCAAACACUCGUUGUUUCGAUCGCGUACGUGCCAGUGACACUUGGUCGGUUGCUGUCCGCGCCGAGGCAUGCAGGAUCGACGCCGAGGGAGAUAGACACACACGCACAAACACAUACACAUACAUAUAUAUAUAUAUAUAUAUAUAUAUAUAUAUAUAUAUAUACAUAUGUAUACGCACGUCACGACACUUCACAUCCUCGCGCGAAGAGGAGCUGCAUCUCCUCGGCACGAGCAUAUCAAGAGACGGAAGUGCACCGGCGUUUUCACUCAUACGUGCAUAUACGAGCCGAACGGUCGGACCGUGCGGACUCCUGUUCCGGGAAA